rnacentral:rRNA from 1 species
GAUGAACGCUGGCGGCGUGCUUAACACAUGCAAGUCGAACGAAGCACUUUAUUUGAUUUCCUUCGGGACUGGUUAUUUUGUGACUGAGUGGCGGACGGGUGAGUAACGCGUGGGUAACCUGCCUUGUACAGGGGGAUAACAGUUGGAAACGGCUGCUAAUACCGCAUAAGCGCACGGCAUCGCAUGAUGCAGUGUGAAAAACUCCGGUGGUAUAAGAUGGACCCGCGUUGGAUUAGCUAGUUGGUGAGGUAACGGCCCACCAAGGCGACGAUCCAUAGCCGACCUGAGAGGGUGACCGGCCACAUUGGGACUGAGACACGGCCCAAACUCCUACGGGAGGCAGCAGUGGGGAAUAUUGCACAAUGGGCGAAAGCCUGAUGCAGCGACGCCGCGUGAGCGAAGAAGUAUUUCGGUAUGUAAAGCUCUAUCAGCAGGGAAGAUAAUGACGGUACCUGACUAAGAAGCACCGGCUAAAUACGUG